UACGAAGGGGGCUAGCGUUGUUCGGAAUUACUGGGCGUAAAGCGCACGUAGGCGGACAUUUAAGUCAGGGGUGAAAUCCCAGAGCUCAACUCUGGAACUGCCUUUGAUACUGGGUGUCUUGAGUAUGGAAGAGGUGAGUGGAAUUCCGAGUGUAGAGGUGAAAUUCGUAGAUAUUCGGAGGAACACCAGUGGCGAAGGCGGCUCACUGGUCCAUUACUGACGCUGAGGUGCGAAAGCCAGGGGAGCAAACGGG
rnacentral:rRNA from 1 species